rnacentral:lncRNA from 1 species
GAAGAUCGAAGACGAUCUGAUGAAGUGGAAGAGCACGCUGUUGAUGAUUCAGGCGGUGCUCGAUGACGCUGAGGAGAAGCAGAGGACUAAUCGAUCUUUAACAUGGAAAAACAAAACCAUACAAUAAUUUUAUUACUGUUAAUAUAAAGCAGCUAACUCUUAAAAAAUCUUUGCAAGAGAAAACCAAUAGACAAAUAAAACAUAAUCGAUACUAACUCAAGGUAAAUCAAUACUAAAAACGCGAUCAUGUUUUUCUAAAAUAAUGAAUAUUUUCAUAAAUUAAUAAUUUAUUAAUUUGCCAAUUAAUUGAUGUUUGUUAAAUUUUAAUACAUUUUUUUAUGAUCCCCAAAACUAUUAAUUUAUUGAGAUUUUAUUAUAUUUGUUAUGUGGGAAACAAUGCAAUUUAUAACAAUAUAUUGUUGCAAUGGGACUAACAAAAUUUCUAGCAAUUCUCUUUUCGUAGAUAACAACCAUUUGAUUUGGAUGACAUUAACCAUGUAAAUGUUAAUAACACAUGAUUUUUUUUUUUAAAAAGGAGUUUUUCUAAUGAUUAAUAAAAGGAGAAUUCAAAGAAGAAAAUUAAAAGGAAAACAGCCAUAGGGGUUUGUGUUGGGAAUGACCAUUCGCAGUUUUUGCUAUCCUGCCACAGUUUGCUCUCUUCUCUGUACGUUUAAUAUUUGAAUGAAUGUAUUCGUUAAUUGUAACAACUCAAUGUAAUGACAUCGUGUCGUUAAUGUUCAUAUUGAGAGUUUGUUAAUUGAGUUAUUUAUUACGUAAAUUGAAAUUAAUUACACUUGUCGUCCAUUAUAUUACGUCUCUUUUAUUUAUUAGUAGUGGGCAAAUACAUGGUCCAGAUUUGCCAUCGAUGACGGUCGAUAUUUCCAGAACUAGUCAAGCGUUACAGAGAAGAAAGCAAAAAAUCACAAAACCAAUCAGAUGCAAUGGCUUCAGAUCAACCUCUUCCCACGAUGUUCGGGACUCAACACGAGAGAAUGAGAAGAGCUCUCAAGAAUCACCAGGAUGAUAUUAGAUCAAGGAUGCUAUGAGGACAAACAAAGUUGGCCGCUGUAGCUUUUGACAAUAUACAUGCUAUAGCUGUUAGAUUAAACAAACACAAACCACCAGAUAUAAGUUUUGUAUAUAUAGAUUCAAAAUGAAUGAAACAUUGCUAUGAUGUGCGUGCAUUAGUCUCUUAUUUUGUUUUCAUUGAAUCUUGUUGAUUCUUGAUCGAUUAAACUCAUUCUAAAACCACCAAGAUCUCACUAAACUCUCUAAUUGAUGAUUUAGAAAUGACAAGCAAAUCACACACCUCGAAACAAGCAAAACAGAGGCACAAUUUAAGUGGUUCCGCUUGGAGAUAGCCUAUAUCAAGUGAAGAACAGGGCAGCAAUCUUAUCUCCAUCACCGACAUCAAACUACAAGCAUUAAGAAGAAGUUACAAGCUUUUCAUGUCUCAACUGUAGCCUCUAAGACUAUAUAUACAGAUCAUGAAGAAUCUAGAUAUUUCCCCCCACUCACAAGCUGCAUUCUGGGUUUGUUAAAACAAACCCAGAAUUUUCCCGCCUUGUAAAGGUCAAUUAACAACCUUGAAUGACGUUCUUAAUUCGUG